GAGGCUACUUAAGUUAUCGGAAGUACGGAGCCUUCCGUGCUUCCAGCUCGUUUUCGAUGUUGCAACUUUCGAAUCGUCGAUCGGCUCCGUUAAACUUGAUCUAGAGUAUUUGAAGUACCUAGAAAAUAAAUUUUAUGAUUUUACGAUAUCAUUUGCCUAGUGAACGAAGGGGUUCAAAAUCAACGGCUGAAAAUAAAAAUCUUACAAAAUGUAAUAAUAUGACAUUAAAAUUUUAAAUCAAAGAUAUUGAUCUUGUUUUAUAUAGUAUAAAGAAUUUUCUAUCAAAAUUUCACGUGAUUUGGAUAUUUCUACACCGUUAAACUUGCAAACGGCUCACUACGGCCAUUGAAAUUUGUUGAUUUUGAGCCCAUUCGAUCACUAGGCAAAUGAUAUCGAAAAAUAAUAAAAUUUAUUUUCUAGGUACUUCAAAUGCUCUAGAUCAAGUUUAACGGAGCCGAUCGACGAUUCGAAAGUCGCAACAUCGAAAACGAAGCUGGAAGCACGGAAGGCUU
rnacentral:lncRNA from 1 species